rnacentral:lncRNA from 1 species
UCAUUCUGAGCCAUGAUUGAAAGUCAGGAAUAGACAGGGCUGCUCUGUCUCUCGGUUGAAUGAUUUGCUGCUGAUUUUCUGACAGAUUUACCCAGUGUGUGCCUGCAUAUUCUUGGCCUUUGUCGACUUGGCCAGGGCCAGGGAUAAAUCCACUGUGUUUGUGUAUAGGUUUUGGAAACCACUUGUAGCAAGUUACUUUGGUUAGGGUAUGUGAUUUGCAGUGAGCAGAGAGGAUUUGAAAAGGAAUAAUAUGUGAAAAGAGUAAUUGUUUGGGACUAUUGAUUGUUGACGACCAGGAUUUUGUCUCUCAACUCCCCCUUUUCAAAAGUUUUCUUGAAAGUGUUAUAGAGAAGAGGGAUUUUCUCAUACACUGUAGUUCUGCCCUAGAUAAGCACCAAACUCCUUGCAUAAACUUGCAUAGCUUCAUACAGGGUGGAUCCUACUAGCUGACUGUUCAUGUCCUGUUACAUGUUUUUGGCGUUGAUGAUUUGAUUGUUGACAGAGCGUCAAAACUGUGAUUCUUGUUGCUCUGAAUCAGUGGCGCAUGGAGUUUUACUCAUGAUCUUGGAUUUAAUAUUCUUUGGAUAUACUCAAAACCUUGGAUUUAAUGUGAAUCCUGAUUGCCUUGAUGAGUUAUGUUGUGAUGAGGAUAGUGCAAUAACAGACAGACAACUGUAUUCAGGAUCAGUUUGAUAGAACUUUUGUGCAAUAUUGCACAUGUAGAUCUGUACAUGUACAUGUUACGUUCAUGUCUAUGGAUUUCACUUGUUCUCAGCAAGUUUAUAAUAUGAAGGAUGUCAAACUUUUUAUAGCAGUUUGAUAGACCUUACUUAGAGUUCACUUCUCUGUAGUCGUGGUUAAAUUUGUGAAUUUCGAUGCACAAGCGUUACAGCGCCCUCUGUUGUUCAGUGGGCAUUGAUUCGUUGCGGAUCAAGGAGAAUGAGAAACCAUCUAAUACACUGCCGUGGGAUCGCAAUGGCCAUUCAAAAUCAAGGCAACAGAAUAUGAAGGCGGACCCAGAGAAGCUCUACACGAAGCUAGAGCGUAUCGGCAAGGGUUCCUUCGGCGAGGUCUACAAGGGCAUAGACAACAUCUGCAAGGAGAUCGUAGCCAUCAAGAUCAUCGAUCUAGAGGAGGCUGAAGAUGAGAUUGAAGACAUUCAGCAAGAGAUCACCGUCCUCAGUCAAUGUGAUUCGAUUUAUGUCACAAAGUACCAUGGCUCAUACCUCAAGGGCACCAAGUUAUGGAUCAUCAUGGAGUACCUGGGAGGAGGGUCCGCCUUAGAUCUUCUCAAGUCAGGUGCAAUGGAUGAGAUCUACAUUGCAACCAUCCUACGUGAAGUCAUCAAGGGAUUAGAUUAUCUGCACUGUGAGAGGAAGAUACAUAGAGAUAUCAAAGCUGCAAAUGUAUUACUGUCUGAGAAUGGCGAUGUCAAACUGGCUGACUUUGGUGUAGCCGGUCAACUCACAGAGACACAGAUAAAGAGAAAUACGUUCGUUGGUACACCGUUCUGGAUGGCUCCUGAAGUCAUUAAACAGUCAGCUUACGACUCAAAGGCUGACAUGUGGUCCUUAGGCAUCACAGCUAUCGAGCUGGCUAAAGGGGAACCCCCUAACUCUGAUCUUCACCCCAUGAGAGUCCUCUUCCUCAUCCCAAAGAACAACCCACCCAAGCUAGAAGGCAGCUAUACCAAGAACUUCAAGGACUUUGUAGAAGUCUGUUUAAACAAAGACCCACGGCAUCGGCCGACAGCCAAGGAGCUACUAAAACACCGCUUCAUCAAGCAAGCAAAGAGAACCUCCUACCUGACAGAGCUGAUUGAGCGUUAUAAGAGGUGGAAGGCAGAGGGUAACGACUCGCCGGACUCAGACCCAGAGGAUAAUGAAUUCCCUAAUGAGUCGCUUCAGAAUAACUUGCCUGAUUUUGACUACGGGAACACGAUCAGGGGACCACAGUACAUUCCUGAGCCUCCUCAUCCUGAACCAGUUGAAUCUAUCCCUAGAAGACAACCUAAAUCAGAGUGCAUUCAGUCCCUCCUUGGUCCUAUACUCAGAGAUCUCAAGCGCAAGAAUGAGGGUUUAUCCGGUGCCAUCGAUGAGCUUCAGAACAGCUUUGAUAUGGCAGAAGAGUCGAGUCCAGGAAUCUGUGAUAGAUUAGUCAGUCAGGUUGUCUCUAGAGUAGAAAGGUAA